UUUUAUUUUACUCCAUGAAGGAAGGACUACAAAAUGGGGAAGGUUUGAUACAGGGCAGCCAUAAUCCCUUGAGCAUACCAGCACAUACACAGGAGCCCUGCCCAGUUGCUAUGCCAACCCUGAUGGUCCUAGACAGAAGACCAUCAAGGUCACAAAGGACUUGCAUAUGGGAGUGGAUUCAACACGGACUGGAACAAAGGACAAUGAUCAGAUCUUCCCUCUGGGGGCAGGAAACUGCCAGCUCCCCUUUGUCCUCUGGAAAUGACUCAUGGGGAGGGGGAGAGGCGGAACCAGCCAGGUGACAAGAUACUCAGGUUACCUCCACAACUCCUCCCUCAACCCCUCCUUUUUGUGAUGUGUCAAUGAUGUAGUCAUGAUGUAGUUGUGAUGUGGUUCUAGGGGUGUAGUUUGGGGGAUUAGUAACUAAUAAAAGUUAGGGUCUUCUUUUGUUCUGUGCUUCCAUUUUGCUUCAUCUUGUUGCGGGUGGGAGUCCUGUCGCGACAGUAUCCAAUAAAGUCCAAGCCUACAGGCUGCUGUUUUGCUCCAAGUUAUCCUGGUUGGUGUCUUUGUUUUUGUCCAAGGGAGCCCUCGGAUUUCUCCGUUAACAGGG
rnacentral:lncRNA from 1 species